AUUGAACGCUGGCGGCAGGCCUAACACAUGCGAGUCGAGCGGAUGAAGGGAGCUUGCUCCUGGAUUCAGCGGCGGACGGGUGAGUAAUGCCUAGGAAUCUGCCUGGUAGUGGGGGAUAACGGCCGGAAACGGGCGCUAAUACGGCAUACGUCCUGAGGGAGAAAGUGUGGGAUCUUCGGACCUCACGCUAUCAGAUGAGCCAAGGUCGGAUUAGCUAAUUGGUGGGGUAAAGGCCUACCAAGGCGACGAUCCGUAACUGGUCUGAGAGGAUGAUCAGUCACACUGGAACUGAGACACGGUCCAGACUCCUACGGGAGGCAGCAGUGGGGAAUAUUGGACAAUGGGCGCAAGCCUGAUCCAGCCAUGCCGCGUGUGUGAAGAAGGUCUUCGGAUUGUAAAGCACUUUAAGUUGGGAGGAAGGGCAGUAAGUUAAUACCUUGCUGUUUUGACGUUACCAACAGAAUAAGCACCGGCUAACUUCGUG
rnacentral:rRNA from 1 species